rnacentral:rRNA from 1 species
GCGCGUGCUAUACAUGCAAGUCGAGCGAAUGGAUUAAGAGCUUGCUCUUAUGAAGUUAGCGGCGGACGGGUGAGUAACACGUGGGUAACCUGCCCAUAAGACUGGGAUAACUCCGGGAAACCGGGGCUAAUACCGGAUAACAUUUUGAACCGCAUGGUUCGAAAUUGAAAGGCGGCUUCGGCUGUCACUUAUGGAUGGACCCGCGUCGCAUUAGCUAGUUGGUGAGGUAACGGCUCACCAAGGCAACGAUGCGUAGCCGACCUGAGAGGGUGAUCGGCCACACUGGGACUGAGACACGGCCCAGACUCCUACGGGAGGCAGCAGUAGGGAAUCUUCCGCAAUGGACGAAAGUCUGACGGAGCAACGCCGCGUGAGUGAUGAAGGCUUUCGGGUCGUAAAACUCUGUUGUUAGGGAAGAACAAGUGCUAGUUGAAUAAGCUGGCACCUUGACGGUACCUAACCAGAAAGCCACGGCUAACUACGUGCCAGCAGCCGCGGUAAUACGUAGGUGGCAAGCGUUAUCCGGAAUUAUUGGGCGUAAAGCGCGCGCAGGUGGUUUCUUAAUUCUGAUGUGAAAGCCCACGGCUCAACCNUGGAGGGUCAUUGGAAACUGGGAGACAUGUGUGCGCAAGAG